UCGCUCCCCCAUUUCCCCCCCCCCCUCCCGCGCCGACGCCCGUGACGUCAGCCGCCCGGCUCCAUUUGAGCGCCUCUCGGCAGCCGAGAACUCGGACUUCCCGUGUGGCUCACAACAUAACUACUCGGCGUUGCUUCUACAGUGGCUGUGGCUCGACCCCUGGCCUGGGAACUUCCAUAUGCCGCAGCCCCGCGGCGGCAGAUGGCACUCGUUCUGCCGCUUUUUCCUGGCUGUGUGCGAUGCCAUCGCAUAGAUGUCCCCGGGUCUGCGAAGUGCACUCACCUGUCAGUGGACCUUUAGGUGGCUUCCAGAUCUUGGCUCUGGUGAGUAGUGCGGCGACAGACAGAGGGGUGCCCGGGUCUGCUUCCGGGAAAGUUUGGUCCCGGUGAAAUGGAGCUGUUUGGAGGCCGGCUUCGGUCUUUGUGUGGGCCGGCCCGUGUAGGGCUGCUUGGCUGAGACUCUGUCGAGGAGGGAGGCCUUCAGCCACCGGGGCCUCACGGGGCCUACCCGUGCGGCACCAUCACAGAGCUCUCCGUCACUGCCCCUUGUGGG
rnacentral:lncRNA from 1 species